rnacentral:rRNA from 1 species
AANACGCUGGCGGUAUGCUUAACACAUGCAAGUCGAACGAAAUCUUCNGAUUUAGUGGCGGACGGGUGAGUAACGCGUGAGGAACUACCUUUAGUUCGGGGACAACAGUUGGAAACGACUGCUAAUACCGGAUGAGCCGAGAGGUAAAAGAUUUAUUGACUAGAGAUGUACUCGCGUCUGAUUAGCUAGUUGGUGGGGUAAGAGCCUACCAAGGCAACGAUCAGUAGCUGUUCUGAGAGGAAGAUCAGCCACACUGGGACUGAGACACGGCCCAGACUCCUACGGGAGGCAGCAGUGGGGAAUUUUCCGCAAUGGGCGAAAGCCUGACGGAGCAAUACCGCGUGUGGGAGGAAGGCCCUUGGGUCGUAAACCACUUUUCUUAGGGAAGAAGAUCUGACAGUACCUAAGGAAUAAGCCUCGGCUAACUCCGUGCCAGCAGCCGCGGUAAU